AUUGUUGGAAAGUGACAAGAGCAGCCGAAGCCGAAUCAAUAAUAUUCUUUUGAUAGGAUUAUGAAUAAAUAUUUGAAGAUGUUGAACAAGAGUCAAAUCCUAAUGCUUACAAACAACUCCUCGUGGAAUGCACCAACACCAGACGCUUGGCAUUUGAUUCAACAAGUUUGGUUCACAAAUGGAUUGGUGGCAUAAGCUUAGAAGAACUUUCACUAUUCUCUCCACCAGAAUCAAGCUUCGCAAAUCCGGUGGUGGUAUGGUUAAAUUCAGCGGCGGAGAUAUCGGCGGAGGAUCCAUUGGUGGGUUGUUGAAUCUUCAAGAUGAAGUAGAAAUGUGCGGUUACAAAGAUGUAGAGAUUAUGUGGAACAUGUUAAGCUUAAGCCUCACGCAUGAGCCAAUGAAAACCGCAAGAACCACUAAACCAAAAUUUCCAAGGGGUAGUAGUUACAAGCAAAGAUUAAAUUCAAGGUUUUUGUUUUGGACUAACCAUAACCCAUAAAAAAAAAAAGCAAAUGCCCAAAAUUUUGUAUAUGUGAAUAAUAUGUGAAUGUUUUGUAUAUAAUAUGAUAAUGAGUCAAUUUCACAAGGAUAAUGAACAGAAACGUUUCUCCUUGUUUUAUGUCAACUAAGUGAAGAUUUGUA